rnacentral:tRNA from 2 species
GGUCUCGUGGCGCAAUGGUAGCGCGCUAGCUUCCGGUGCUAGCGGUUGUGCGUUCGAGUCGCACCGGGAUCG